rnacentral:rRNA from 1 species
UACAAGGCGUACGGCUCAGUAACACGUAGUCAACCUACCUUAUGGACGGGGAUAACCUCGGGAAACUGAGAAUAAUACCCGAUAGGUCAUAAUGCCUGGAAUGGUUUAUGGUCAAAAUGAAUUUCGCCAUAGGAUGGGACUGCGGUCUAUCAGCUUGUUGGUGAGGUAAUGGCCCACCAAGGCUAUAACAGAUACGGGCUCUGAGAGGAGAAGCCCGGAGAUGGGUACUGAAACACGGACCCAGGCCCUAUGGGGCGCAGCAGGCGAGAAAACUUUGCAAUGUGCGAAAGCACGACAAGGUUAAUCCGAGUGGUUCCUGCUAAAGGAAUCUUUUGUUAGUCAUAAUACCACUGAUGAAUAAGGGGUGGGCAAGUUCUGGUGUCAGCCGCCGCGGUAAAACCAGCACCUCAAGUGGUCAGGAGGAUUAUUGGGCCUAAAGCAUCCGUAGCCGGCUUUGUUAGUUUUCGGUUAAAUCUAUAUGCUCAACAUAUAGGCUGCCGGGAAUACUGCUAAGCUAGGGUGUGGGAGAGGUAGACGGUACUCCGUAGGAAGGGGUAAAAUCCUUUGAUCUAUGGAUGACCACCUGUGGCAAGGCGGUCCACCAGAACACGUCCGACGGUGAGGGAUGAAAGCUGGGGGAGCAAACCGGAUUAGAUACCCGGGUAGUCCCAGCUGUAAACUAUGCAAACUCAGUGAUGCAUUGGCUUGUGGCCAGUGCAGUGCCGCAGGGAAGCCGUUAAGUUUGCCGCCUGGGAAGUACGUACGCAAGUAUGAAACUUAAAGGAAUUGGCGGGGGAGCACCACAAGGGGUGAAGCCUGCGGUUCAAUUGGAGUCAACGCCAGAAAUCUUACCCGGAGAGACAGCAGGAUGAAGGUCAAGCUGAAGACUUUACCAGACAAGCUGAGAAGUGGUGCAUGGNCGUCGUCAGCUCGUGCCGUGAGGUGUCCUGUUAAGUCAGGUAACGAGCGAGAUCCUUGCCUCUAGUUGCCACCAUUACUCUCAGGAGUAGUGGGGCGAAUUAGUGGGACUGCCGUAGUUAAUACGGAGGAAGGAGAGGGCCACGGCAGGUCAGUAUG